rnacentral:rRNA from 1 species
UACGGAAGGGGCAAGCGUUGUUCGGAAUCAUUGGGCGUAAAGGGCGCGUAGGUGGUUCUGUAUGUCUACCGUGAAAGCAUACAGCUCAACUGUAUUUUGUCGGUAGAAACUGCAGGACUUGAGGCUGGGAGGGGCUGGUGGAAUUCCCUGUGUAGCGGUGAAAAUGCGUAGAGAUGGGGGAGAACACUCGUGGCGAAGGCGGCCAGCUAGACCAGUUCUGACACUGAGGCGCGACAGCGUGGGGGGAGCAAAACAGG